GGCAGAGCAUGAAACCGGGUUUGUGUGGACAUGGGCAUGCCUGGGUGCAGUGGACGACUGCGUUUCCCUUCCAGAGCUGUGAUGAAGCAUCUCCACGGAGCUUUGAAAAAGUUUCCUCAGGCAUAUUCAGGGAGCUCGGUAGAUGCCGUUGUUUCGCAAGUUUUCUGUUUUCUUUGUCUGUACAGGUUGUUCCUGCCUUCACGGCUGGGAGGAAAUUGAGGAUGUGGAGCGCUUGCCGUUUGGCCGUGGGGCUGGCUCCUGUCCUCAGUCGGGCCAGUGACCCGACCCAGUCCUCUGGCAACAGGAGAGGGGCCCACCGGGCGCAGCGUGGCCGCUCCGGUCUCUGUAGACGUUUUUACUCGUGGUAUCUAGCCUCAAAAAAGACCCUGAAAGUGCCGGCUCCCUUGUGGAGGCAACUUAGCCCUUAGUCCUCGUGGGCAGGGGUCUGGGGUCGGGGUUUAAUGCGUGACCGCGCCUGUGUCGCUCAUUUGCCACCGUUUCCCCCACAGCCUGGCCUGUGUCACCGCUCCACCACCUCUCCCACCCAGCCCUCUCACCUCCGAGCCUGGGAGGAGCUGGGGGGUUGUUUGCUUCCUAGGUUAGGAAGUGUUUUCUUUUGUUCUUAAUUGGCUCUGGAAGGAUUCCUCAUAUCCCAGAAAGGAAUUCUGGGGGACCGGUUCAAACAUCUGAUCUUAUCGUCCCCAGAACCUGUUCACUUCACACAUGCUGGUGUAACGCCAAGAAAGUGGAAGUCCUGGCCUUGAACUCAGGGAGCCGGGGCCCUCUGUGUGUUGUGGAGGGUGCACGCCCUGUGGUCGUCCCACCCUGGAAGUGGCACACAGCCCCACAUCCGCCUUCACUCAAAGGGGCGGAGUUUGGGCCCAGAUAAUUCACGGGAACUCUCCGGGCAUGAAGCAGGUGGAAGUCUUUGGAGACCAGGCCUGGGAACACCCAGGCGUCCUGGCAGACUUGAGUCUUCCAGGCAAGUGAGGCCUGGGAAGGCCGUCAGAGGCCACGGCAUGUCCUCGCUCUGCAGAGGAGAGGUCUGGGUGUCCCAGGGUGCCUGCUUAUUAACGCAGGGAAGCACGUGGCGUGCUGCCUGCGUUCCAGUGAUUAAGGGAUGUUAUUAAAUGCUCCUGAAUUAUUUUAAUAAUAGCAGUGUAAACGCAGACAUUAACUGGAGCUACUGUAGCUGACUUCUGGGCUUUCUGGACUUGGAUGAAGAGAGGCCCUUAGUUUAGCUGUGGACAGAAAGCACAUGUGUGUGUGAGCCUGGGAAGCAAGUUCUCCUUGGAAGUGGCCACCUCUCCCACUCGCAGGCCCAGGGAGGGCUAGGCCCCCAUGCUCGGAGGCUUUUAAAGCUGGAACUGAAAUGGAUGUUGGGUGGGUGUUGCUCGGCACGGUUCCAGGGUUUCGAAGGCCGGCCAUACUUUGAACAAGUUAAACAGCCCCUCUCUGCAAGCGGCAGGAAGCUCAGUGCUGGCUUCGUGCUGUUGCACGGGCAGGUCAGCGGGAGAUAAAAGGCCGCGACUGUUGAGGCGAGUCCCCUCCUAUCGCUGGCUGGCAGACUGUGGAGGGGAGAUAAAAGGGGGGAGCAGGGAGGUUCUUUCUGAGCAGCAUGAGGGGGCCUUUAUCACAGGCAUGCAAGUCGAGCCAGGGGUGUGCGGGAGACCCUUAGCUGCACGCUCGCACGCAUGCUAGCUCUCCGGGAGGACCCCGGCAGGGUUUCCCAAACACAUGCGAUCAGGUCUGUGUCGCGGGAACACCGGCAGAGGCCGGGCUUUUUCAGCCACAGCAGUCCUACAGAGUGUGGGUAACAAUCACGUCAGUUUAAGUUAAGAGGGCAUCAGCCGGCGUUUCCCAGCGGAGGAGUGGGUCCCACAGGAGGGACCAGGCCUGAGCAGACCGCGGACCCUCAGGGGGCACCCGAGGCCGCGGCGUGCCCUUGACUUCUUGCUGUUCUCUGGGGCAGCCAGGUUCUCAGCCAGGGCAUAGAGCCGACGGGAGGGGCCCUGGUGUCGAUCCCCCGUUUGAGGUGUCCCUUCCUGCCCCGUGUCACUUUGGGGAGAGCUAAGGGCUUGCAGGGGGGUACUGGCUUUCUCAGGAUGGGGCUUGUGAAGUGUGGCCCCCACCUUGAAGAGCCGGGGCCUGGGCAGCGUGAGCUCAGGCAGAUGCAGAGAAGGACGUGCUUUCGGCCCGUGGUGACUGGCUCAGACCAACAAGGCCAGGGGUUUGGCCCUCGGUGUUGCUUCAGUCAGACACCCCAGGAAGUGCAGUUGUUGUGAACUAAUCACCCUCCUGGCUGUGGGGAGAAGCACCAAGACGGUCUGCGAGCCUCAGGCUUCCUCCAGCACUGGCUGGCCCACCACGGCCUGACUCCCCAGCCGCCUCUGCCCAGCAGCUCCUUGAACCUGGGGGCUGGAGGAUGGAGACCGCACCCCAGAGUCCCCUCUCCUGCCAGGAGCCGCUUUGGGGUUGCCUCAGUUUGCGUGAAGAAACACCAUUUGCUUGCUAGUGUCUUUGGUUGGCUGGCCUGUGAUAAACACAUAUGAGCUUCAUAUAUCUCAAGAGUGUUUGUUUUUCUUCCUAGACAGAGUAGUGAAUAAUUCUCUUAGAGGCAAAGUAGAAGGGAGAAUGGCCGCCCGUGAGGAUGCCCGGCAGGCAGCCCUCCGAACCGCUGGGUGCCAGCUCCGUGGCUGGAGUCAUUCUCAGCUGACGGCUUGUAACGUCCUUCAGCCACUGUGGGAUGAGGACCCCAGCUGACUGGCGGGCCGCCGGCGGGCAGGAGAGGGAGCUGUGACCUCCACUGCCCCUGAGCAUUUCCAGCCGCACUUGCAUCUUCCACAAAGUCACUGGGGUCUUCUAAGGGGCGUCGUGCUGAGCACCGCCCCCCCCCCCGCCCCCGAAUUCUGGGAAUGUGCAGUCAGACUCGGGGUUAACCACCUGCCCUGGCGCUCAGCUCGCCUCCAGCUCCUUCCCCCUCAAGGGAGAAGCGGAGAAUCCUGUUUCUGAAGCUUGACCCUUUACCGAGCCUGUGGGAGAGGAGCGCCCAGCUCAGGGCCUGUGAAAGAGUUGCAGGAUAUUGCCUAAAACUCCCUGCAAACUGCUUCUGAACUUUACCCCAGCUUCCUCCCCGGGGCUGUAAAUGCGACUGAAGGCACCGAGCCCCUGUCAGAGGAGUGUCCAGAGCAGCCCAGGCGCUCCCGCCCAGCUGCUGAGAGGCGGGCGAGCAGCAGGCUGGGCUGCAGCUGCCCCGAGGCCAGGCGCUCCAGCCGCCUGAGGAGAGGCAGCACAGGGUGGGCAGAGCCAGUCGCAGACUUCCCCGAUUAAGCAUAUGUGAGGCCGGCCAGGAUUUGUUUCAGCAGCGACCUGAAGCCGGAGGCGUUUUAUUUCCUGCUGGCCACACAGCCCCGCGAGCUGGCAGCAGCUGUUCCACUCCUAAUUGUGGAUGGGGUUGCAUUUGUGAUAAGCUAAAUUAUAUUUAUAUUUCAUUGUUACACUUAGGGGCUGGAACAGAAUUUUUUUUUUUAAAGAUCAGCACACUGGGCCUUGCCCGCCAAGUGUUGGCAAUCCAAGAGGGCAUGGCCGCCAUAGGUGGUGGAGGGGCUGGGGAGGGCCAGCCCCAAGCCGAGCUAGCCUGGAAUGUCGGGGGUGCCGUCAGCAGCUCACAGGAGGUGCUGUGCUGUUUGUGAAGUGUUUCAGUUAAUAUUCCUCUGACCGAUUUCUGUGAAGUACGGAGGGCUUGUAUCACCAGCUGCGUUUUCCAGCUGAGGGGACUGUAGCUCAGGGAGUAGAAGUUGCUCCGCUUGUGGCAGGCCGUGUCCAGUGCAGGCUGGGGGCCGCCCAGCGCGCACUAUUUGGGCUGUUGUGCACCCUUCUGUGACUCACAGUGGGAUGAAGAGGGCGCUGUCCUCUUGGAAGCACUGAAUCUGGAAGUCAGAAGGCUCAUCUGACUUGGUCUCCCCCCUCACCGCCCCGCAGGACAGCGUUGUGGUUAGCCACCCUCUGUUGAUUACUUCCAGAGACCGCAAGCUCAUUACUUUACGGGGCCUCGUUCCAUCUGUGGGCAGCUCUGGCUGUUCAGAACCCUGGUAUAAAGGAUGAUGGCAUUCCAACCAGCUCUUCAGUGCCUCCCACCGAGACUGAGUUCCUAUCGUGGUGGACACAGAGGUCAAGUGUGCCUCUCCUGCGUGCCAGGCCUUCAGGUGUCUCCACUUCCUUCAGCCAUUCUCCCCCUUCACUGGGUUUCCCAGUACUCUAGUUUGCUAAUCGCCGUCUCCAAAUGAUCUUUCCAUGAUGCUUUUUUGUGGCAUCAGAAAGUGCCAGAAUUUCAGAGUCAGACAACUGGUCUAGAAUCCUGGCCCCGUCCCUGAUACAGCUUGGGGAAGGAUCAAAUGUAUACAAAGCACCUUCCCUGGUUUCUGGCCCGGAGUUUAUGCCCCAGUAGAUAGUGUUCUUGUUGCUCAGUUGCGAAGUCACUAAGACUCUUUGCGACCCCAUGGUCUGCCCCACGCCAGGCUUUCCUGUCCUUCACUGUCUCCCAGAGUUUGCUCAAAUUCAUGUCCAUUGAGUCCGUGAGGCUAUCUAACCAUCUCAUCCUCUGCGGCCCUCUUCCUUUGCCUUCAAUCUUUCCCAGCAUCGGAGUCUUUCCCAGUGAGUCAGCUCUUCAUAUCAGGUGGCCAAAGUAUUGGAGCUUCAGCUUCAGCAUCAGUCCUUCCAGUGAAUAUUCAGGGUUGAUUUCCUUUAGGAUUGACUGGUUUGAUCUCCUUGAAGUCCAAGGGACUCUUCCAGCACCACAGUUCAAAAGCAUCAAGCCUUUGGCUCUCAGCCUUCUUUAUGAUCCAACUGUCACGUCUGUACAUGACUACUGGAAGAACCGCAGCUUAGACUGUGGGCCUUUGUCGGGCAUAUGAUGUCUUUGCUUCUCAGUAUGCCGUCCAGGUUUGUCGUAGCUUUCCUUUCAAGCAGUGUGCAUGUGCGCUCCCUUAGUUGUGUCUGAGGUUGUUGAUGUAUCUCCUGGCAAUCUAGAUUCCAGCUUGUGAUUCAUCCAUCCAGCAUUUCUCAUGAUGUACUCUGCAUAUAAGUUAAAUAGGGUGACAGUAUACAGUCUUGUCUUAGUCCUUUCCUAAUUUUGAACCAGUCAGUUGUUCCAUAUAAGGUUCUAACUGUUGCUUCUUGAUUUGCAUACAGCUCUCUCAGGAGGCAGCUCCUUGGAAGGAGGCUUUCCAGGGGCACACAGGUUGGUGGAGGCUGUAGCCUUUGAGGGUCUGUGAGUGGUUCUGCCUUCUGUGCACUGCAGGCUGCCCUGCCCUGCCCGACGCUCACAUCCAACUUGUCCCCUGCUCCUGCGGAAGCUAAAAGAGGCCCUGCAUAUACCGACCCCUGAUCCCUGUCCUCUCGCCCUUAUUUUUAUUAAUUUU
ensembl:lncRNA